GCGCGGGUGGCGAAAUUGGUAGACGCACCAGGUUUAGGUCCUGACGGUGGCGACACCGUGGGGGUUCGAGUCCCCCCCCGCGCACCA
rnacentral:tRNA from 3 species